rnacentral:lncRNA from 1 species
CAAAGGGCAACUUGGCUAUCUUUCCUCGAAGGUAGGAUUCACAAGCUGGAUACGGCUUUGGGUUAAGAGAGCCAAGGAUUCCAUCUUUCUCCAGUCUGUUUAUCCUAUCCUCUCCAAUAUGGCCUAAUCUAUGAUGCCACAAGUACUUCUGGUUAAUUUCAUCUCUGGGUCUCUUUUGGCCUAUGGUACUCACUAUUUGCUUGUUUAGGUUCACAUUCGUAUCAACAUGCAAGUGA